rnacentral:rRNA from 1 species
CUUUUUGGCCACAUCACCCUGCAACUCACAACUGGCAGCCCACUGAAGCUAAGCAGGUGUGAGCCUGGUCAGUACCUGGAUGGGAGACCUCCUGGGAAAAACUAAGGUUGCUGCUGGAA